rnacentral:rRNA from 1 species
UAUGUAGGUGGCGAGCGUUAUCCGGAAUUAUUGGGCGUAAAGAGCGCGCAGGUGGUUGAUUAAGUCUGAUGUGAAAGCCCACGGCUUAACCGUGGAGGGUCAUUGGAAACUGGUCGACUUGAGUGCAGAAGAGGGAAGUGGAAUUCCAAUGUGUAGCGGUGAAAUGCGUAGAGAUAUGGAGGAACACCAGUGGCGAAGGCGGCUUCCUGGUCUGUAACUGACACUGAGGCGCGGAAGACGUGGGGAGCAAACAGG